rnacentral:lncRNA from 1 species
CUUUUUUAGCAUUCUUCGAACAUCAAAGACAGAUAUCAAACAAGAUGGCAAAAUUCUGCGCUCUCCAGUGAGAAAAAUUUCAAGAUUUUCUGGACUUCUAAAUAUCACUUCCUUGCGAAAACAAUCGACUGAAGUACGAUGUCUAGAUAAAAAGUCCAUCCCCAAAAUAACAUCAAAAUCAUGAAUAUCGAGUGGAAUUAGAUCUGCUUUCAA